rnacentral:rRNA from 1 species
UGCCCCACNGUACCCCUCUCGGGAACAAGGAGCCGGCAUCAGGCACUUCCCCGAAUGCCCACGACGCCCUGCCUAGCCACGCCCCCACGGGACCUCAGCAGUGAUAAACAUUAAGCCAUAUGCGAAAGCUUGACUUAGUUAUAGCUAAGAGGGCCGGUAAAACUCGUGCCAGCCACCGCGGUUAUACGAGGGGCCCAAGUUGAURGCUGCCGGCGUAUGGCGUGGGUAGGACAAGACUCACACUAAGGCCAAACACCUUCAAGGCUGUAAUACGCACCCGAAGACAGGAAGUCCAACCACGAAAGUGGCUUUAUAUAGUUUCAACCCACGAAAGCUAGGGAACAAACGGGGAUUAGAGACCCUCUUAUGCCUAGCCGUAAACAUUGAUGGYACWAUACACCCGCCAUCCGCCUGGGAACUACGAGCAAGCGCUUAAAACCCAAAGGACCUGGCGGUGCUUUAGACCCCCCUAGAGGAGCCUGUUCUGGAACCGAUACCCCCCGUUCAACCUCACCCUUCCUUGUCCGUCCAGCCUAUAUACCGCCGUCGUCAGCCUACCCCCUGAGGGGCCUAAAGUAGACAAGACUGGUAAUACCCAAAACGACAGGUCGAGGUGUAGCGCAUGGAAGGGGRAGAAAUGGGCUACAUUCGCU